rnacentral:lncRNA from 1 species
GUUCAUACAAGAAACUUCCACAAGGGUGACCUCGUAUGGAGGAUGCGAAGCAACGCCAGGAAGGCGGACGACAAGUUCUCGUCAAACUGGGAAGGACCAUUCCGCACUCGAGAAGUAGGAGAAGAAGGAGCGUAUCAUCUUGAAUGGCUAUCGGGAAAAGUUGUACCGAGGACGUGGAAUGUCACACACCUGAAGUUUUAUUUCAGCUAAACAAUGAAUAAAAGUUAUGCACUCUUUCCUCGCUCGAUGGAACCAGCAGUCCGAGAGGUUUUAAAGAAACGUUUUCAUCAAACAACGUGCCAAUCAUAAAAUCAACUUAAGAGACGC